GCCAUACCCUAAAUUUCACUUACACUUAAAACGCCAGGGUACUACGAGCCCCGCUUAAAACCCAAAGGAUUUGACGGUGUUCCACCCAACUAGAGGAGCCUGUUCUAUAAUCGACAAUCCACGAUACACCUAACCAUUUUUUGCCACUCAGCCUGUAUACCUCCGUCGUAAGCUUAUCAUUUGAAUGAGAAAAAGUAAGCACAAGGACUAAAAGCCAAAACGUCAGGUCAAGGUGCAGCUUAUAAAAUGGAAGAAAUGAGCUACAAUUUCUAAUUUAGAACACACGAAUUACUGCAUGAAACAAAGUCAUGAAGGUGGAUUUAGCAGUAAGUAAGGAAUAGAGAGCCUUACUUAAUUUGGCCCUGGAACGUGUACAAACCGCCCGUCACCCUCUUCGAUAGCUUUUAACCAGUUAAAUAACCUAUUUACCGCGUCUUAGAAGAGGCAAGUCGUAACAUGGUAAGUAUACUGGAAAGUGUACUUGGAAUACCAAAAUGUAGCUUAAUAAAAGCCCCCCGCUUACACCGGGAAAAUAUCCGUGCAACCCAGAUCAUUUUGAGCCCUAAAUUUAGCCCUAAAUUAUUUUAUAAAUUUCUCCUCCUCAAAUUUAUUAAAUAAAACAUUUUGACUCCUUAAGUAAAGGCGAUUGAAAAAGCUCUAAGCGCUAUAGAAAUAGUACCGCAAGGGAAAAAUGAAAUAAUAAUGAAACAAUUAAAGCUACUUACAGCAGAGAAUUUACCUCG
rnacentral:rRNA from 1 species